CAGAAACCCUAGGAGUGAUUCAACCUUUCGACUCCCUCAUCAACAAAAUAUUAUUCGAAUCAAGCACCGGCAAUGAAUAGCCUCCCAUCAUCUUCUUUUUAAUGAAUGUUUUUUGACGUUAGAAAAAAAACGCUCACCUCAGCUUUAAAAUGGCUUCUCCAUAUACAAUGUCACAUUGCAUUCGAAAACAACAUUCGUUACAACAGUUCAACAUAUUGUAGGUUUUUCCUCUUUCCUUACUUCUGUUUUUGUGCAAUUUCAAUUACAUUUUUUUUUUGGGUUUGUUUGUAUAUUUUUCUCAGGAUAAUGUUACUUUUGGUUGGAUUCUAUUUUCUCCCCAUAACAUUUCCUCAGCCGAGUAGAUAUGAUUGAAAUAUGGGUACCGGUAUUCGUCGUAUGUUCCCCCUCUGCCAAUUUUUCCAAGUUUCUUGAUAAAUUUAAUGAAGAAUCAACGAUUAAUAUUUGCUGUUAGAUAUCAAUGGUAUUUGGAGAUGGAAAACUAUGUUGAUCACUAAACCAGAUUUGUAUAGAUUAAGUGAUUUGUUAAUAACAGUUAACAUAAACUUACAGUGUGCUAUAAAAAUGAUUGUAUACUUAUAUAGUCGAUUAGAAGUAUUCACCAAUUCAUGUACUUGAAAUUUCAAUCUUACCUUUCUAAUUACCCAAAUACUCAGUUUCUUUACAUUUAAGCUUUUUUGGUUGUAUAAAAGUUAUUGUAUUCUUUGUGGUGUGACUUCUUUUUGAUAUCAGUCAUAUUAUAGCCUAUACAUGUCCAAUGAUUUGAAGCUUUGGUAUUCCUCCAACAGUAGACAUGGACUUUAAACGGUUUCAUUCCAAUACCGACCAGUAUUGGUUUCAAUCGGUAUUCCUCAAAAAGUUUCAUCGAUUAUUAUAUAUGACCACUAUUUUAUUUCUGUUGAUAUUCUAAGAUUUAGCAUUCCAAGUCAACUGCAGCUUCAAGGGGUUAUAUGCUCUCGAAGAGCAGGUACCAAUUUGGGUCACUAGGAAAUGGGAGAAGUUGGAAUUUAUGUUCACCAACAAAGUUACCAGUGUGGAUAUGGUUAUUCUCGAAGAGAAGCACACAGAAUGUUGUCUAUCAAUUAGCCAUGACAGCUUCAAGAGUUUGUGCUCCCUAGAUGAAGAGAAGUGAUGCUUCCUCAUAGUUAAGAGUCACGUAGGAAAUGGGAUUUUCAUGUGUCCCAACGACUUCACCAGCAUCAAUAUGGUCAUGGUCGUCCAAAAGGUGUUUGCUAAACUUCGGUAUAAUAUGGUAGCUGAUUUGCAGCUUACGAUUUUGAGGGCUGGACGAUUUAAUGGAGGUUCUUCAAUGAAUUCCACUGGAACUACAUAUACAGUAACAAUUUUGUAAAUGUACUCCAACCUUUAUUAAGGUCUAAAAUCGUUUUUUUUUGUUGGUGCGGUAAUUUUUUUUAUAAAUGCUAUGGUAUUAACAUUCUUUCUUUAGGAAUUAGACGCAUGACGGCGAACCAGAACUUGGAAACUCUUUCAGAACUGCCUAGAUACAUAACUACCAAGUCGGAGUGGGUACUACCGUACUACGGUACAACUUCAGUUCAGUCUAAUGUUGUUUAUCUUAUGAAAAUUUCUUUGAAGAUAACUUGGAAAUUCCUGAAAAUAGAGGAAGCUUAAAUGUACAAAUCAAAGGUUGUUUGUAUUUUAAUAUUUUGGAUGAGGUGUUAUCAUCAUAAAAAGUACCUCGAUUAAUAAAUUGCAGUUAU